rnacentral:rRNA from 1 species
AACGCGAAGAACCUUACCUACCCUUGACAUGGCUGGAAUCCUUCAGAGAUGAGGGAGUGCUCGAAAGAGAACCAGUACACAGGUGCUGCAUGGCUGUCGUCAGCUCGUGUCGUGAGAUGUUGGGUUAAGUCCCGCAACGAGCGCAACCCUUGUCAUUAGUUGCUACGAAAGGGCACUCUAAUGAGACUGCCGGUGACAAACCGGAGGAAGGUGGGGAUGACGUCAAGUCCUCAUGGCCCUUAUGGGUAGGGCUUCACACGUCAUACAAUGGUACAUACAGAGGGCCGCCAACCCGCGAGGGGGAGCUAAUCCCAGAAAGUGUAUCGUAGUCCGGAUUGUAGUCUGCAACUCGACUACAUGAAGUUGGAAUCGCUAGUAAUCGCGGAUCAGCAUGUCGCGGUGAAUACGUUCCCGGGCCUUGUACACACCGCACGA